rnacentral:rRNA from 1 species
AACACGUGGAUAACCUACCUAUAAGACUGGGAUAACUUCGGGAAACCGGAGCUAAUACCGGAUAAUAUAUUGAACUGCAUGGUUCAAUAGUGAAAGACGGUUUUGCUGUCACUCAUAGAUGGAUCCGCGCCGCAUUAGCUAGUUGGUAAGGUAACGGCUUACCAAGGCAACGAUGCGUAGCCGACCUGAGAGGGUGAUCGGCCACACUGGAACUGAGACACGGUCCAG